UUGUUUUUGUUUCUGUGAUGUGUUUUGCCUGGAGUACUCUCUUCCAAAUUUGGUCACACAGAGGACUGUGUGAUUUAAUAUUGGGAGAGGGCUCACGAAGUGUGUGUGG
rnacentral:sRNA from 1 species